CGAAGGAUCCAAGCGUUAUCCGGAUUUAUUGGGUUUAAAGGGUGCGUAGGCGGACUAUUAAGUCAGUGGUGAAAUCCUGCAGCUUAACUGCAGAACUGCCAUUGAUACUGAUGGUCUUGAGUACAUUUGAGGUGGGCGGAAUGUGUCAUGUAGUGGUGAAAUACUUAGAUAUGACACAGAACUCCGAUUGCGAAGGCAGCUCACUAAACUGUAACUGACGCUGAGGCACGAAAGCGUGGGGAUCAAACAGGAUUAGAUACCCUGGUAGUCCACGCCCUAAACGAUGAUUACUCGAUGUGUGCGAUACACUGUACGCGUCUAAGCGAAAGCAUUAAGUAAUCCACCUGGGGAGUACGGCCGGCAAGGCUG
rnacentral:rRNA from 1 species